UAUGGUCUUAUCAGGUUGAAACAUCGGUUAUCGUACGAUCAUCAAAGUUAAGCAACGUCGAGUCUGGGCAGUACAUAGAUGGGUGACCGUCUGGGAAUAUCAGGAGUUGUAAGC